rnacentral:rRNA from 1 species
AGAGUUGAUCCUGGCUCAGGAUGAACGCUGGCGGCGUGCUUAACACAUGCAAGUCGAACGAACUUUCGGGUUAGUGGCGGACGGGUGAGUAACGCGUGAGAAUCUGCCCUCAGGAGGGGGAUAACGGUUGGAAACGACCGCUAAUACCCCAUAUGCCGAGAGGUGAAAUGAAUUUCGCCUGAGGAUGAGCUCGCGUCUGAUUAGUUAGUUGGUGGGGUAAUGGCCUACCAAGACAUCGAUCAGUAGCUGGUCUGAGAGGAUGAUCAGCCACACUGGGACUGAGGCACGGCCCAGACUCCUACGGGAGGCAGCAGUGGGGAAUUUUCCGCAAUGGGCGAAAGCCUGACGGAGCAACGCCGCGUGAGGGAUGAAGGCCUCUGGGCUGUAAACCUCUUUUAUCAAGGAAGAAGAUCUGACGGUACUUGAUGAAUAAGCCACGGCUAAUUCCGUGCCAGCAGCCGCGGUAAUACGGGAGUGGCAAGCGUUAUCCGGAAUUAUUGGGCGUAAAGCGUCCGCAGGCGGUCUGUCAAGUCUGCUGUUAAAGCGUGGAGCUUAACUCCAUUUCGGCAGUGGAAACUGACAGACUAGAGUGUGGUAGGGGCAGAGGGAAUUCCCGGUGUAGCGGUGAAAUGCGUAGAUAUCGGGAAGAACACCAGUGGCGAAGGCGCUCUGCUGGGCCAUAACUGACGCUCAUGGACGAAAGCCAGGGGAGCGAAAGGGAUUAGAUACCCCUGUAGUCCUGGCCGUAAACGAUGAACACUAGGUGUCGGGGGAAUCGACCCCCUCGGUGUCGUAGCCAACGCGUUAAGUGUUCCGCCUGGGGAGUACGCACGCAAGUGUGAAACUCAAAGGAAUUGACGG